AGAUGGGACUAAGGUAUGCUAAUCGAACGACCAGAACUAUGUCUGGGAGUGGCACACUGCUCAGUAACACGUAGCUAACCUACCCUUAGGACGUGGAUACCCCCGAGAAAUUGGGGUUAAUCCGCGAUAGAUGUAAUGUCCUGGAAUGGUAUUACGUCUAAAGGUAUUUCAUACAUGUUUGAAAUAUGCCUAAGGAUGGGGCUGCGGCCGAUCAGGCUGUUGGUGAGGUAAUGGCUCACCAAACCUUUGACCGGUACGGGCCAUGAGAGUGGUAGCCCGGAGAUGGACACUGAGACAAGGGUCCAGGCCCUAAGGGGCGCAGCAACCGCGAAACCUCCACAAUGCACUCACGUGCGAUGGGGCUAUCUCGAGUGCCACCUGAUGAAGGUGGCUUUUCCUUGGUCUUCAAAGCCUUGGGAAUAAGAGGGGGGCAAGACUGGUGUCAGCCGCCGCGGUAACACCAGCCCCUCGAGUGGUGGGGAUGAUUAUUUGGCCUAAAGCGUCCGUAGCCGGCCGUGAAAGUCUUCCGUUAAAUCCAGCGUCUCAAGCGUUGGACCGCGGGAGAUACUACAUGGCUAGAGAGUGGGAGAGGUCAGCGGUAUUCUGGGGGUAGGGGCGAAAUCCUUUGAUCCCCGGAGGACCACCAGUGGCGAAGGCUGCUGACUAGAACACGUCUGACGGUCAGGGACGAAAGCUGGGGUAGCGAACCGGAUUAGAUACCCGGGUAGUCCCAGCCGUAAACGAUGCAUGCUAGGUGUUGGGUUGGCCACGAGCCACCCCAGUGCCGCAGGGAAGCCGUUAAGCAUGCCGCCUGGGGAAGUACGAUCGCAAGAUUGAAACUUAAAGGAAUUGGCGGGGGAGCACCACCAGGCGUGAAGCCUGCGGUUUAAUUGGAGUCAACGCCGGAAAUCACUAGU
rnacentral:rRNA from 1 species